GUAGCACAGAGAGCUUGCUCUCGGGUGACGAGUGGCGGACGGGUGAGUAAUGUCUGGGAAACUGCCUGAUGGAGGGGGAUAACUACUGGAAACGGUAGCUAAUACCGCAUAACGUCGCAAGACCAAAGAGGGGGACCUUCGGGCCUCUUGCCAUCAGAUGUGCCCAGAUGGGAUUAGCUAGUAGGUGGGGUAACGGCUCACCUAGGCGACGAUCCCUAGCUGGUCUGAGAGGAUGACCAGCCACACUGGAACUGAGACACGGUCCAGACUCCUACGGGAGGCAGCAGUGGGGAAUAUUGCACAAUGGGCGCAAGCCUGAUGCAGCCAUGCCGCGUGUAUGAAGAAGGCCUUCGGGUUGUAAAGUACUUUCAGCGGGGAGGAAGGUGUUGUGGUUAAUAACCACAGCAAUUGACGUUACCCGCAGAAGAAGCACCGGCUAACUCCGUGCCAGCAGCCGCGGUAAUACGGAGGGUGCAAGCGUUAAUCGGAAUUACUGGGCGUAAAGCGCACGCAGGCGGUCUGUCAAGUCGGAUGUGAAAUCCCCGGGCUCAACCUGGGAACUGCAUUCGAAACUGGCAGGCUAGAGUCUUGUAGAGGGGGGUAGAAUUCCAGGUGUAGCGGUGAAAUGCGUAGAGAUCUGGAGGAAUACCGGUGGCGAAGGCGGCCCCCUGGACAAGACUGACGCUCAGUGCGAAGCGUGGGAGCAACAGGAUAGAUACCUGGUAUCACGCGUAA
rnacentral:rRNA from 1 species